GAUGAACGCUGGCGGCGUGCCUAAUACAUGCAAGUCGAGCGAACGGACGAGAAGCUGCCUCCUCUGAUGUUAUCGGCGGACGGGUGAGUAACACGUGGAUAACCUAUCUAUAAGACUGGGAUAACUUCGGGAAACCGGAGCUAAUACCGGAUAAUUAUUUGAACCGUAUGGUUCAAAAGUGAAAGACGGUCUUGCUGUCACUUAUAGGUGGAUCCGCGCUGCAUUAGCUAGUUGGUAAGGUAACGGCUUACCAAGGCAACGAUGCAUAGCCGACCUGAGAGGGUGAUCGGCCACACUGGAACUGAGACACGGUCCAGACUCCUACGGGAGGAAGCAGUAGGGAAUCUUCCGCAAUGGGCGAAAGCCUGACGGAGCAACGCCGCGUGAGUGAUGAAGGUCUUCGGAUCGUAAAACUCUGUUAUUAGGGAAGAACAUAUGUGUAAGUAACUGUGCACAUCUUGACGGUACCUAAUCAGAAAGCCACGGCUAACUACGUG
rnacentral:rRNA from 1 species